CUCCAGACUCCUACGGGAGGCAGCAGUGGGGAAUAUUGCACAAUGGGCGAAAGCCUGAUGCAGCGACGCCGCGUGAGUGAAGAAGUAUUUCGGUAUGUAAAGCUCUAUCAGCAGGGAAGAAAAUGACGGUACCUGACUAAGAAGCCCCGGCUAACUACGUGCCAGCAGCCGCGGUAAUACGUAGGGGGCAAGCGUUAUCCGGAUUUACUGGGCGUAAAGGGAGUGUAGGCGGAUAUGUAAGAUAGCGGUGAAAUGCCGGGGCCCAACCCCGGAACUGCCAUUAUGACUAUGUAUCUAGAGUAAUGGAGAGGAUAGCGGAAUACCCAGUGUAGAGGUGAAAUUCGUAGAUAUUGGGUAGAACACCGGUGGCGAAGGCGGCUAUCUGGCCAUUUACUGACGCUGAGGCUCGAAAGCAUGGGGAUCAAACAGGAUUAGAUACCCGUGUA
rnacentral:rRNA from 1 species